rnacentral:rRNA from 1 species
GACGAACGCUGGCGGCGUGCCUAAUACAUGCAAGUCGAACGCACAGUUUAUACCGUAGCUUGCUACACCAUAGACUGUGAGUUGCGAACGGGUGAGUAACGCGUAGGUAACCUGCCUGGUAGCGGGGGAUAACUAUUGGAAACGCUAGCUAAUACCGCAUAAUAUUAAUUAUUGCAUGAUAAUUGACUGAAGGAUGCAACUGCAUCACUACCAGAUGGCCCUGCGUUGGAUUAGCUAGUAGGUGAGGUAACGGCGCACCUAGGCGACGAUACAGAGUCGACCUGAGAGGGUGGUCGGCCAGCCUGGGACUGAGACACGGCCCAGAGUGCCUCGGGAGGCAGCAGUAGGGCAACGUCGGGCAUGGGCGAAAGUCAGACCGAGCAACGCCGCGGGAGUGAAGAAGGAUGUCGGGUCGUAAAGCUCGGUUGUAAGGGAAGAACGGGUGUGAGAGUGGAAAGUUCACACUGUGACGGUAACUGAUCAGAAAGGGCCGGCUAACUACGUG